UGUGCUUUGCUUUGUACUCAAAAAUAAUUUAAAAAUUAAAUUACGGGUCAAAGUAAACUCAAAACUCUGAAAACUUUUUAAAAAAACAAAAAAAAAACAUGGUAAUUACAACUCUUACAAGUGUGUGUGUGUGUGUUUUUGCAUCUUUCCGCAAAAUUUGUCUGUUGCUUUCGGAAAUUAAAGAGACAAUGACCAAGGUAUCUUUUCUAAUCUAG
rnacentral:lncRNA from 1 species